rnacentral:snoRNA from 1 species
GGAGGGCAAAUGAGGAAUCUAAUUAUCCAAUGGGUAAUUUGCAUCUGAAAUUUAUUGAUGUCAACACCUUGGAGAUCUGAUGCCUAUG